CCUACUGUUAGCCCCAUUUACACGAUCAAAAUGAUAGGGGUGAAACUCCCCAACGUCUUCCUUCUCUUUUCACCCACGGCGGCAGCGGCGGCGGCUUGGGUUCUCGCCGGCAGGGAAAGGUGAAGAUUCAUAGCGGCUCUUGACCGAAACCACUUCCCAUGGUGGUGAAUCUUCAUCCAACACGAGUUACCUGGAUUCCUAAGCAAGAUGACUAAGUUUAUCACAAAUUAUGGUUCAAAGGGUUAGGUAAGGAACACUAUCUCUUUUUUUACUACGGUUUGGAUGAAAGUAUUACUGAAUUGAUUGAAAUCUAAUUAUUGAAAAUCCGUUAAAUUUACCAUGAAUAAACCGAUUUAAACUUGUUGUGAUGAAUCAUCUUCAAUCUUAGCUGAAUAUGGAU